UCUCCGUAGGUGAACCAGCGGAGGGAUCAUUAUUGAGUUUUUAUACUUCAAAAUCCUUGUGAAUUUAUACCUUUACUGUUGCUUCGGUUGGUUAACGUUAUGGAAGGCACAAAAAGCAGAUGGAAGCAGGCGCCCGCCGGGGGAGUUAAAUUUUUGUAUUUCUUAAUUUGAAUGUAUGAGUUGAAAUAUAAACAAGUGAAUCAAAACUUUCAAUAACGGAUCUCUUGGUUCUG
rnacentral:misc_RNA from 1 species